CAUCGUUCUACCAGUCUGCCAGUCAGCUACCUACAGCCCACUCUCCAUGAAGCCACCAGCAGUCAUCUUUCUACCAGCCUCCUACAGCCCACACUUCAGGAAGUUUCUUGUCAAAAAUAUAUCAGUGCCCAUGUCACUCUACAGCAGUGCAGACCGAGUGUGAUGACUCAGCGAUGGAUGCAGACUCUGUCCCAAGAAGAAACCCUCCGCUUCAAACAAAAAAGGAUCCUUGGAAUUCUGCAGACAUCUCACCACCCUGGUCAUGAAAAUAAUGAUGACACCAUGUUGAACAGUAAGAUCCCAAACCAAUGAGGCUCUCCAGUGCCUGGAGGCAGAGUUGGAAGCAGACCCUAGCCACAAGUCUAAACUGAUGGCCUGCCUGGGAUUAAUUGGAGGCUUCAACCUGAGAGACACAGUCUGGAGGGUUAUGAAAGCAACCUUUGCAACUACUAUUGCAACCCAGAUGAACUGGAGGGGGGUGAAUGAUAAAAUAUCUGUCCAGCAGCUGAUCUUGAGAAAAGUUGUCAUUGGUGCUGUCAGAUGAAAUCCUUUAACAGCAACAGUUUCAGAUAAGGAGGUUGAUGUACUGAUGGUUAAGUGGCUUCACCUGGCUGGUGACAGAGACAGUGGCAGGAGACAAAGACAAAAAAAAGCUGAUGAAGCUGACAAUUAAAAGACUUCAGUUUAUCCGUUUUAGUUGCACUACAUUGACACAUAAGUUUAUCAGAAUGUCAUUGCUAUUGGGUUGCCUCUCAAUGUUACCCAUGUUUUGUUUUUUUACAUUUGUAUUAGUAGCCUAUAAAGGGGGUCAAAAACUUUUAUUAACCAAGACUUAAACUACUACUUUUAAUAACCUUUGCUUUAUUAGGGAAAUUCGUAUAUAAACAGGUAAAUUGCCAAUUUGACAUUUUAAAAUUGUUGGAGUAUAGUAAGUAUAGACCAUUUGGUAAAAUUCUGGGAUAAUACUCAUGGCUAUGUUAUGGUUCGGUUAAGGCAUAUCAGCCAUAUGUGGGUCACAUAAGGGCCAUAAGGCCUUAACAGAACUCAGCCAUACAGAUAUUCCAUAUCAGGCCCAGCUAUGAGCCAUAUCAACUUUUUGUAUUUGGCUUACUCCUGGUAGAAGUCUGGCUUUGCUAUGAUUCACUCAUAGCUGUUGUACCCUUGGGCCGGAUAUGGCUGUCAUUCACUUCCAAAUGUGGGCCACAUCUUUGCUGUUCAUUUGGCCAACAUGCAUGCCAAAGGAAAUUUGCUAUCAGGGUAGACUCUUUGUUUUACAAAAUGUUGUCAUUUCUUGAUUUACUAAAAUUCACUUUUGAACCCCUGUUAAUGACAAACAUUCACCAUGGUUCAUUACCUUCAGCAUAUGUCACAUGAUCCAGUACAAUACUCCAACUUUCAGAAACAACAUACAUGUGUAAUGUAACCAAAAGUUAAAAAUGAAGAUGCAGUCUUCACUGUUACCUAUUAACCUAGUCCUCACUACUUUUAACUAUCAAAAUGAAUUCAUAAUUAAUAAUUAAUUCAUACAAAAGCUUAAACAGCUAUUAGUUCAGCUUCAAUAAAACAUACUACAUUUAUUUAAACAAACCUAUUUUUUUAAUGUUAACAAAAUUCUAUUUUAUGACCACUGAAUAUCAAUUCCUCACUUAUCAAAAAUAUAUUUGUCAGAGUGAUGAUUAUUUUGGGUGCUUUAACUGUGCACUCUCCCUCGUGACUCUAUGUGCCUUUUUUCAAUGAUCAUAGAGGCUACAGUGGAAAUUAUAAAUGAAAGUUUUAACAGCAUUUUGAGUGCAAAUUCAGCCAGUUACCGCAGUUACAGUCAAAUCAAGUGCACCUGCAGAGCAGCCACCCCACACUAACCUGAUAUAAAAGCUAUAUAUAGCUGUAUGUGUAACCACAGACAGAGAGAUGUAGAAAAGAAAGAGAUAGAUGACAAACAAUGGGAACUGAUGACAGGAUGGCCUUCAUCCUGUCAAAUCUGAAGAAGUCCUUGCUUGUGUCCUUACUUAAAGUCCUUUUUCCAGGAAGAGUUCCUCUUGAUGUCACCCUAAAUUUGGGUGAAUCAAUGAAGAAAGUGUGAGCAUUCCAAGGGUGAUGUAAAUCUGUCUCCUCCUCUAAGGCACUCCAGGACACAAUUGCCUUGGGAUCAAACCAAGAAAUCAAAGGUCUUAACGAGAAGGACCAAAAGUAUAAUUUAAAAUUCAGGACUGCAAGCCCCCCAUUAAGCAUCCUCCAUUGAUCAGUGGAAAGUGUUAUUCUGGGCUGCAGAUUGUUCCAGAUAAAGUUAUAGAUUGCUGAGUGGAGUUUGCACUAAUGACCAUAAGGGGUAAGGGGAGCAUUGAAAUGACAAAGUUGACUCUGGGUAAUAGAUUCAUUUUGAUUACUGAAGCGUGGGCUUGUAGUGAGUUGGGAUGGCUCGACCAUCUAUUGAGGUCCUGGAGAACCUUGUUGUACAUGCUUGUAUGAUUAUUCUUCACAAUCUGGUCCAGGGUAGGGACCUUUUCAAAGUAAUUUAUUUACAACAUAUUAAUCAAAACAUAUAGGUGGGACAAAUCUGUAAAGUCAUUGUCAGGACUGAGCAAACCGCACAGGGCCAGUGAUGUCAUGGUUCCUAAGGCAGGGAAUGUAUGAGUGAAACUGUGCUGCAUGGGUGUGUAAAAACACAAAGAAAAUGGAACAAAAGCCAUAAACUGGAGAUGUGUGGGGAGAAGAGAUCUCUCUGAACUGGAUGUGGCUCUGGCCUUUAUGAUGAAAGAAAACUGUGACAAUAGGGGAUAUUUACUAAGCCUGUCACUGCAAAUUACUUUCAGGGGUGCAAAAUCUUUCAAGUAUUUACUAAGAGUACUGAUGAGUUUUGUGCAGGAGAGUUUUGAUAAAAUUUGUUAACUCUUUGCCUUACUGUAAACAGCCUACUUAAUUAUUACUGGCUGCUCCAAUCAUGUUGCAAUGGACUGGAGCUGCUGUGAGCCAUUGAAAGUCAGAGAAAGUCACUGCAGGAAACUGAAAGGUAAAGUUGUGAAAAAUCUUUUGUUUUGUGUUGCCUUGUGUGAUGAGCUCUGAUAAAUACAGUGGUGAUUUUACACCUGCUUCUCUCAGAUAUUACAUUUCAGUUGCAGUUUCCUCUGCUGCAGUGGUCAGUCUGCUGUGAUAAAUGAGGUGCUAGGGAUAUUUCCAUGAAUUUCCAUUCCCUCCACCCAUAUUUUGAGCCUCUAAUCAGGAAUGCCUUAAAAUAUGUGCCUGUACCAGCGUCACUGAAUAUCUGCGUUCAGUUAUACAGCAAUACUGGUUCGAGCCAAAAUUAAAUCUGAAAUUUGAGAGUGGACAUUGCAAACAACAUAAGGAAAAACCUUAGCAACAACCUUAGCAACCAAGGCUACAGAAUGGACGGCUGUUUAUGGGCAUGUGCAAUGAUUUGACGUCAGCAAGGCAGAAAGAACCAUUGCAAACAAAGUGUUCAUAGCAAGGUUAAGCCCUGACUUUUGACUUGCAGGGAGCAUUUC